rnacentral:rRNA from 1 species
CCCGGGGAAACCCGGAUUAAUACCGCAUGAUCUCGAAAGAGCAAAGCAGGGGACCGCAAGGCCUUGCGCUUUUGGAGGAGCCUACGUCGGAUUAGCUAGUUGGUGAGGUAACGGCUCACCAAGGCGACGAUCCGUAACUGGUCUGAGAGGAUGAUCAGUCACACCGGAACUGAGACACGGUCCGGACUCCUACGGGAGGCAGCAGUGGGGAAUAUUGGACAAUGGGCGAAAGCCUGAUCCAGCAAUGCCGCGUGUGUGAAGAAGGCCUUCGGGUUGUAAAGCUCUUUUGUCCGGGAGCAAAACCUAUCUACUAAUACUGGAUGGGGAUGAGAGUACCGGAAGAAUAAGCACCGGCUA